AAUAGCACAAGACUUCGUGAUACCUAGCUUUGCGGUUGAAGCAUGGUUCAAUUACUUUACCCCUUUUCAUAUCAUCAAAUGUUCUUAAACCUUGCCUUUGGCUUUAAGCAUGUUUUUCCAUCUUCUAUAUACAAUAUAGUUUUCUGUCUCUUUUAGUCAGAAGAUGCGGAACUGAACUGCUUUUUCCCCCCAUGUUGAAAACUUGAGAUUGUUCCAUCUUAGAUGGCAUCCUUUUCAAUCACUGGUCCCAUAAAAUGCAAAACAUUUGCCUCAUUUUCCCCACUGUCCUUUUCUGCUACCUAUAAUUCUUGUAAUAUUACCAUUUCUAAUAAUCUAACAAGAAAAGUUCGUGCACAUAGCAAUUCUCUAUCUUCAUUUUCAUACCAAUCCUCGUGUCAUAGGAGCUUGUAUUCUGAGAAGCUGCAGAGAGGCCAAUCCCUGAUUGCCUUUGAUGGCAAUAACUCAGAAUCAGAAGCGGAAGAUGAUCAUGCCCUGGACUCAGUAAUGAAACUGUACUCUGCCUUCAAGAACAAAAACACACACGAAUUAUCUGCAGAUGAGCGCCGACGUGUGAGCAAUUUCCUCUCAUUCUUCGAAACCUUCCAAGGAAGAACGGUAUCUUUUCCUCCCUGCUUAGCAAGUGUUGGAAUUCUUUUCUUAUCUGACAAGUAUAUUAGGAAACAACAUUCAAAUUAUAUUUAAACCGACUCCCCAUGAAGGCGUAAAUGUUGGUCUCCAGUGGAAAUUCGAAUGGAACAAGAUACACCUUCCCCUUUGGAAGGGUUUCGGCUUACACAUAAGCCACACUUACCACGGAAGAGCAGUAAUAAGGAAUAUUGAGACGUUUAUGGAACCACUGCUCCACUUGAAACCCUUUGGACUGAAAAUGAAAAUAGGCUUGGGAGAAUUCAUGGAGAAGAUAGCCUCAUUUAUGGUGUCAGAAUUCGGGAAUAAGGCUAAAAGAGUUUUAUACCUUGUUCUGGCCGUGUCGUCCCUAACUGCUUUCUUAUUCUUCAUGAAACUAGCUUCCUAGAAACCUGUCUUUUGAAUCAUGCCAAGGCCAAUUUAUUAAUUUUAGUGACAAAAAGUAACAGUUUGGCUUUAACAAGGUAGCCUUCAAGACAAGAUUUGGAUCUCUUAUAUUCCUUCUUUGAUGUUACAGGAACAGAAAGACACUAACAAUUACCUAUUAAUUAUAUCUCUUUUUUAUUUAAUGAUAGUCAUUUACCAAUUUGUUUUUUUAGACAACAUUUACAUAUUUGUAGUGUUAAUAAUUCUAAUAAAUGAUAGAGAAUGUAUUAGAAUAAGUGUAUUUUGUUAGCAAUCCUCCUCCACUUAGUGGUAUAUUAUUCACUAUAGAUGGUAAUACAGACUAUUUGGUUCAACGCAUGCUAACCCAAAAUGGGGUGUCAAUUGUAAUGGCCGAAUAAAAAAGUAUAAUUUUAAUUUAUGUUUCUAAAAUGAGAAUCAAGCAUAAUAAAAACCAAAUUUUGGGUUUUUUUUUCUUCUAAUAUUUUUAAGCUAAGUCUACAUAGAGUCUUGAUGGAGUCAAACUAAAACGGUCCAAGUUUAAGAUGAGUUUAAAAUUUAAAUUCUAAACCUUAUAAUUUAUCAAACUAGUUUAGCUUUACCCUUACAAUUUAUAACAAGUUUAGCUCAACCUC